rnacentral:lncRNA from 1 species
AUCUAAUUCAACAUAUCUUCCUGUCUAACUGAUUAUAUCUGUAUCUCUUUGACUUUCUCCAUCAUCUCAGUGGAAGAAGACACAGAAGAAAGCUCACGGUCAGGCCACGACUCCAUUUCUACAGCCACAGACCUCACUCUUCCACCCUCCAACACUGAGAUCAACGGAGAACGCACCAAAGACGAUAAGAAAAAGGACAAGAAAGACAAGAACAAAGCCAAGAAGGGAGUGCUGAAGGGCCUGGGCGACAUGUUCAGGUUUGGCAAAAACCGCAAAGACGAAAAAAUGGAGCGCAAGGGUUCGAGUAAAAGCAAGAUGGAGGAGAUGACGGCCAGCGAGGAGGAGAUGCAAAGAAUGAGACUGGAACAGGAGAGGAUUCAGGCAAAGACGCGCGAGCUGCGGGAGCGUCAGGCCAAAGAGCGCGAGUAUGCAGAGAUCCAGGACUUCAGCCGGCCGCUGAGCUCAGACGAGGAGCACACCUACGCCGGCAUCGGCUCUCUGGACUCGUCUCUGGACAGCAGUCUAGAUCUGAGCCUCACGCCAGGACAGGAGCGUCCGUUGGGCCCUAGAGAGCCACCGCUGGCCCUUGAGACCCUGUACGCCCAGGUCAACAAGCCCCGCAGCAACCGGACGGCCCCUGCAGACAGCUUCCAGAACACGUCAUUCUCCACAAAAGUUUUGCUGAGCGCUGGCAGUGCAUUAACAAUGGCAGAGUAAUGAACAUGGAGAGGAAAAGAGCCGGCUGGAGUUUCACUUCACAAAGAACAAGACGCCGCUCCACCUGACGCCUCCAACCGGGCCUUUAUCCUCACACACACCGUAGCAAAUCUGGCACAAAUUGGCGCAGCAGUCACAAAUCCCUCCUGCACAUGCUAAUCUAAUGUUUAGAUUAAAAUAAAUAAAUAAACCCCUGUCAUCAUUAUUAUUGCUAAGUCAUAUUCUAACAUUUAAGUAGAAUUGAACUUCUUUUUUUACUCAUUUGUGGAUGGAAAAAGUGAUAUCCAGGAAGAUGAGAGAUUUAAUGAAUUCGUUUUACAGUGCAGAAUUAAUGAGAUGAAAGACGUGACUGAAAUUGCUAUAUAAAAAUCAAUGUAAAUAUUCAUUUAAUUCAUGCAAUCAUUUUCAAGGCUUUUGACUUUUUGACUGUUAAACUGAGUUCAGAUGAAAAUAUAGUGCCCUAUCAUACACCCGGCGCAAUAGGGUGUAAAGUAUAUAGUAAAAGAGUAAAAAGAGUAAAGUAUAGAGUAAAAGUAAAGAGAAAGUAAAGAGGCUGAAUGGAGGAGGCUCGUUCUUUAUCCUCGUGCUGCAG